rnacentral:lncRNA from 1 species
AGGGAAGUGGGUGGAUCAGAUUGGACCGAGCAAGAGGCCCAUAAAAAAUUAUGCUUGAAAGUGAAAUGGGUCUAGCAGGCCAUCUAGAAGGAUCCAACCCGGGUUGAGGACAGGGAUGUGAAGGGAGAAGAAAUGGCUGUCGCGCCUGUAGUGCUUGAGGAAGAAGAUGGCUGCGCAACAGUUCAGGAACAAAGGGAGCUGGUGACUGAUGGCGAAUCGUUGGUCGGUUCUGAGUUGAAAGAUGAUGAGAUCCGCAACGAUAGAGCUUCCCGACUGGAGAUGAAAGAGAUGACGUGCGAUGGCCUCCCCGAGCAUGGAAAAGAAAUGGAGGAGAGGGAGCAGCUGAUAAAAGGAAGAGCAGUGUUGAACAAAGAACUGGCUCUAGUGCCAGUAAGUACAGAGGAGGGAGAGGCAACAGUGGUGAGCAUUUUGAUUACUAGGCGUAGAGAGAAAAUUUGAUGGGAGGUGUAGAAUGUGAUGAGCCUUUUGAGGAGUUUCAGUCUAUUUGGAUAUUACACAAUAUCCAAAAAAUCAGAAAUAUGUUGGGUGUUACUUUUGGGGGUAUUGAUGAUCAAAUGCUUACGAUAUUCGCAGAAUAGAGAGAAGAAGAACCGAAAAAGAGGUUGCAGAUUUGGUGGCCAGGGGGAGAAGCAAACAGAUUGAAGGUGGAGUCUGGGGAAUUGAAAAGACUACAGUCAUCCAUUGACUAUGAUUGCAAGAGGAAAGAAACAAGGAGGGAGGGAAGAUUAGGUAAAAAUUGUAAAUUUUAGAUAAAAUCAUUUCGUGGAACGUAGGGGUAUCAAUGAUAGGGAAAAAAAAGACAAAUUAUCCAAGGUUGUAUCAGUUAGUGGAAGCCGGAUGUGUUUUGCUGUCAACAAUAAAAAAUGGAGUGCAUCACCAAGAAGGAAAUAGAAGUAUGUGGAAAGUGAGGGACAUUGGGUAGUAUUAUUUGCCUGCUAAGGGUGCAGCAGGAAGAUUGUAGUUGUUUGGAGGAAGGAAAAUGUGACGGGUAAAGAGGUGGUCGUUGGGGAACCCCCAUUUCUUGCUUGUUCCAUAAUUGCUAUGGGGUUGAGGAGUGGGUCUUUACAGGUGUUUAUUGUAGGGGUUCUGAAAAUGAGGAGAGCUUGUGGAGGAAGUUGGAGGAGGGUAAGAAGAAGUGGGGUAGCAAAUGGGUAGCUGGGGGAUUUCAAAUAUGGUUAUGAGACGGAGUAAGAGGUAGGGGGGAAUUUUUUCAAGGUUUAUGC